UACGGAGGGUGCAAGCGUUGUCCGGAUUUAUUGGGUUUAAAGGGUGCGUAGGCGGCCCUGUAAGUCGAGUGGUGAAAUACUGCAGCUUAACUGUAGCAUUGCCAUUGAUACUGUAGGGCUUGAGUACAGAUGAGGUAGGCGGAAUUGAUGGUGGUAGCGGUGAAAUGCAUAGAUACCAUCAAGAACACCGAUUGCGAAGGCAGCUUACUAGCUGUAACUGACGCUGAGGCACGAAAGCGUGGGGAUCAAACAGG
rnacentral:rRNA from 1 species